rnacentral:rRNA from 1 species
UGUAAUUUGUAGAGGAUGAUUUUGGUGCGGUAUCUUCCGAGUUCCUUGGAACAGGACGCCUUAGAGGGUGAGAGCCCCGUACGGUUGAAUGCCUAGCCUCUGUAAAUCUCCUUCGACGAGUCGAGUAGUUUGGGAAUGCUGCUCUAAAUGGGAGGUAAAUUUCUUCUAAAGCUAAAUAUUGGCCAGAGACCGAUAGCGCACAAGUAGAGUGAUCGAAAGAUGAAAAGCACUUUGAAAAGAGGGUUAAAUAGCACGUGAAAUUGUUGAAAGGGAAGGAUUUGUGACCAGACUUUUUCUGGGCGGAUCAUCCGGGGUUCUCUCCGGUGCACUUUGCCCAGUAAAGGCCAGCAUCGAUUUUCGGCGGCGGAUAAAAGCAGUGGGAAUGUGGCUCCCUACGGGGAGUGUUAUAGCCCAUUGUAUAAUACGCUGCUGGGGAUCGAGGUACGCGCUUCUGCAAGGAUGCUGGCGUAAUGGUUAUCAAUCACCCGUCUUGAAACACGGACCAAGGAGUCGAACAUUUAUGCGAGUGUUUGGGUGUUAAACCCUCACGCGUAAUGAAAGUGAACGGAGGUGAGAGCCCGUACGG